GGUUGACCUCGGAUCAGGUAGGAAUACCCGCUGAACUUAAG
rnacentral:rRNA from 5 species